rnacentral:rRNA from 1 species
GACGAACGCUGGCGGCGUGCUUAACACAUGCAAGUCGAACGGUGAAGCUCCAGCUUGCUGGAGUGGAUCAGUGGCGAACGGGUGAGUAACACGUGAGCAACCUGCCCCUGACUCUGGAAUAAGCGCUGGAAACGGCGUCUAAUACUGGAUACGAGAAGGGCCCGCAUGGGCACUUUCUGGAAAGUUUUUCGGUUGGGGAUGGGCUCGCGGCCUAUCAGCUUGUUGGUGAGGUAAUGGCUCACCAAGGCGACGACGGGUAGCCGGCCUGAGAGGGCGACCGGCCACACUGGGACUGAGACACGGCCCAGACUCCUACGGGAGGCAGCAGUGGGGAAUAUUGCACAAUGGGCGAAAGCCUGGUGCAGCGACGCCGCGUGAGGGAUGACGGCCUUCGGGUUGUAAACCUCUUUCAGCAGGGAAGAAGCGAAAGUGACGGUACCUGCAGAAGAAGCACCGGCUAACUACGUG